CCCUUCCAAUCCCUACGAUUCUAUGAUUCUGUGACACAGUGUUCUGAAUCCACCAAAGGAUGGCUGGUACCGGCUCCCCCCCAGCUGCAAGUGGUGACCAUUGUAGUCCUCCAGUUUAAUCUGCAAACACACUCAGAGACGGUGCCCCUUUUUCAAGGGGGAAAAAUGGCAGUGAGAGAAACAAUUUUGUUAAGAAGAUCAGUUACACCGGGUGCAAAGUCCUGAGCUCCGCAAACAGGCACUGAAAGGAAGAACGAGGUGGCCAGGUGCGUGCAGCCAAUCAAGAGGGAACAGAUCAGAGUCAUAAUUUCUCAAGAUGAGGUCACUACAGAGAUGAAAGGGUACACAUCAAGGCUUUGUCAGAAGGAUGUCAUUCCGGUUGUAAGCACAAUUCUUCAGGAGAACGCAAAAUACUAAGUGAGACCACGGUCUAUCCCAAUAAAGGAGCUGACCAAAACUUAUACAGAACCCCCAAGAGCUGGUUGGUCCGGACCUAUCCACGAGCAACAUUACAACUGCCCACCUGGUGUAGGAGCUGUGGGGUGCCUGCAGCAGCAUGGUUACUGCUCACAGAUGUUAUACAAUCACAGAUUUUGCUGUUGAUGCAAAGAAAGAAAGAGAAAAGUCUCAAACCUGAACAGAAUUUCAGAAAAACUCCAAAACAACUCCAGCUCAGUGCUCCUGGGCACCACUGACUCCCAGCACUCUGAAAGGGACAAGUGACUCCUUAAGCAAAAGAGUGACCAGUGUCCCUACAGAGGAAUCUGUUCUCCGUAACACAGCAUGUUCAGCAGUGUGAAUGAAACAGUCUUCAUUUCAGCUGCAAGAAACCCCAGAGUAAGAGCCAAAACAAGAAUUGAGGUGAUAACGUCCCAAAGUACCUCACAUCUACUUAACACAAUACACUAGCUAAAAAAAGCUAGGAUUUUGCUGUUACCUCUGCAUGUAGUUUUCUGACUUCAGAAUGCUUUACUCGGUAGAUUUAGCAAAGAACAACUUUCCUUGCACACAUUUAACAUUGUAUAGAAUACACUGCUAUAUAAGCUCCAUGGAGUCAGGAGGAAGGGAUAGGACGAAUGCAAAAGUUACAGGACUGUUUCCCAACUGGCGUGCUACACCCUUACUAUUCAGGCACUUACAUAAGCAGCCUGCUACUUUGGUGAUGUAGUCAAAUUGCUGAGAGCACAAGAAGGCAGCGUUCACUUUAUAACAACUCCAUACAGGGCCAGUGAGAAGAGAAGUGGUCCAGAUACAUCAGCGGGGGUAGAAGGCGGUUUCUGCCACAAUGAAUCAAUGCUGCUGGCAAAAUUCAUUUUUUUAAUUAUCUGACAUUACAGUAAAUUCUGCAGUGCAGUCUCUUACCUCAGCAAAAUUUGAUUUAACACAACCAAAUUAGGUUGCCUUUGACCUUGCCAUCUCUUCAAACAAGGGACAAAGAGAAUUUUUCAAGCUUUAUUGCCACGCUUCCCCUAUUCUUUUGGUCAGAGUACCAGAUGCAUGACUGAGAUCGCUUAUAUUCAACACUUCCCAAUAAAAGAAAUGUUACUUUCAGUGAAUGCAAAAAAACCCUAAACAUUUCAUUGAAAGUCUGAA